rnacentral:rRNA from 1 species
CCUACGGGAGGCAGCAGUGAGGAAUAUUUGUCAAUGGCCGGAAGGCUGAACCAGCCAUGCCGCGUGAAGGUCAGUGCCCUAUGGGCGUUAAACUUCUUUUGUGCGGGAGCAAUAAUGGUCACGUGUGGCCAGACGAGAGUACCGUACGAAUAAGCAUCGGCUAACUCCGUGCCAGCAGCCGCGGUAAUACGGGGGAUGCAAGCGUUAUCCGGAUUUAUUGGUGUUAAGGGGUGCGUAGGCUGUGAGGUAAGUCAGCGGGGAAAUGCCCCCGCUCAACGGGGUGAAGUGCCAUUGAUACUGCCUUGCUGGAAUGCGGAUGCCGUGGGAGGAAUGUGUGGUGGAGCGGUGAAAUGCAUAGAUAUCACACAGAACACCGAUUGCGAAGGCAUCUCACGAAUCCGCGAUUGACGCUGAUGCACGAAAGCGGGGGUAUCAAACAGGAUUAGAUACCCCAGUAGUC